UACGAAGGGGGGCUAGCGUUGCUCGGAAUCACUGGGCGUAAAGGGUGCGUAGGCGGGGUCUUUAAGUCAGGGGUGAAAUCCUGGAGCUCAACUCCAGAACUGCCUUUGAUACUGAGGAUCUUGAGUUCGGGAGAGGUGAGUUGGAACUGCGAGUGAGAGGUGAAAUUCGUAGAUAUUCGCAAGAACACCAGUGGCGAAGGCGGCUCACUG
rnacentral:rRNA from 1 species